UACGAAGGGGGCUAGCGUUGCUCGGAAUCACUGGGCGUAAAGCGCACGUAGGCGGCUUGUUAAGUCAGGGGUGAAAUCCUGGAGCUCAACUCCAGAACUGCCUUUGAUACUGGCGAGCUUGAGUCCGGGAGAGGUGAGUGGAACUGCGAGUGUAGAGGUGAAAUUCGUAGAUAUUCGCAAGAACACCAGUGGCGAAGGCGGCUCACUGGCCCGGUACUGACGCUGAGGUGCGGAAAGCGUGGGGAGCAACAGGG
rnacentral:rRNA from 1 species